UACGUAGGGGGCAAGCGUUGUCCGGAAUCAUUGGGCGUAAAGAGCGUGUAGGCGGCCCGAUAAGUCCGCUGUGAAAGUCCAGGGCUCAACCCUGGAAUGCCGGUGGAUACUGUCGGGCUCGAGUUCGGAAGAGGUGAGUGGAAUUCCUGGUGUAGCGGUGAAAUGCGCAGAUAUCAGGAGGAACACCGAUGGCGAAGGCAGGUCUCUGGGCAUUAACUGACGCUGAGGAGCGAAAGCAUGGGGAGCGAACAGG
rnacentral:rRNA from 1 species